rnacentral:rRNA from 1 species
GAUGAACGCUGGCGGCGUGCCUAAUACAUGCAAGUCGAGCGAACGGACGAGAAUCUUGCUUCUCUGAUGUUAGCGGCGGACGGGUGAGUAACACGUGGAUAACCUCCCUAUCAGACUGGGAUAACUUCGGGAAACCGGCGCUAAUACCGGAUAAUAUCUUGAACCGCAUGGUUCAAAAGUGAAAUACGGUCUUGCUGUCACUUAUCGCUGGAUCCGCGCUGCAUUAGCUAGUUGGUAAGGUAACGGCUUACCAAGGCAACGAUGCGUAGCCGAACUGAGAGGGGGAUAGGACACAAUGGAACUGAGACACGGACAAGACGACUAAGGGAGGCAGCAGUAGGGAAUCUUACGCAAUGGGCGAAAGCAUGACGGAGCAACGCCGAGUGAGUGGUGAAGGUCUUCGGAUCGUAAAAAUCUGUUAUUAGGGAAGAACAUAUGUGGAAGUAACUGUGCACAGAGUGACGGUACCGAAUCAGAAAGCCACGGCUAACUACGUG